AGUUUUGCACGGUGGCAGUAUUGUAGCCAAUGAGGUUUAUCCAAGGCACGAUUACUGCUAACUGAAAACUUUUCCCAAUACCCUGCCAUGACGACUUGAAAUAUAGUCAGCACUGGCAAUUUUUGACAGUCUCUACGGAGA
rnacentral:snRNA from 1 species